ACCAAGGCGACGAUGCGUAGCCGACCUGAGAGGGUGAUCGGCCACACUGGGACUGAGACACGGCCCAGACUCCUACGGGAGGCAGCAGUAGGGAAUUUUCGGCAAUGGGGGAAACCCUGACCGAGCAACGCCGCGUGAAGGAAGAAGUAAUUCGUUAUGUAAACUUCUGUCAUAAAGGAAGAACGGUGGAUAUAGGGAAUGAUAUCCAAGUGACGGUACUCUAUAAGAAAGCCACGGCUAACUACGUGCCAGCAGCCGCGGUAAUACGUAGGUGGCGAGCGUUAUCCGGAAUUAUUGGGCGUAAAGAGGGAGCAGGCGGCACUAAGGGUCUGUGGUGAAAGAUCGAAGCUUAACUUCGGUAAGCCAUGGAAACCGUAGAGCUAGAGUGUGUGAGAGGAUCGUGGAAUUCCUAGUGUAGCGGUGAAAUGCGUAGAUAUAUGGAGGAACACCAGUGGCGAAGGCGACGAUCUGGCGCAUAACUGACGCUCAGUCCCGAAAGCGUGGGGAGCAAAUAGGAUUAGAUACCCUAGUAGUCCACGCCGUA
rnacentral:rRNA from 1 species